rnacentral:tRNA from 1 species
GGAAGGGUGGCUCAGUGGUAGAGCAAUAAAUUUCCGGCAGCGGCCCUCGUACGGUCGCCCCGGGUUUACGGCUUCGCGUGGUUCGACUCCCGCCCCUUCCA